rnacentral:tRNA from 1 species
UCCUAUUUGGGUUUUUAUUGAGAUUAAAAAAACAUCAACAAAUAAAACAAAUAUUGACAUUUCACUUUAUUACAGCAAACUUUCCAAAUAUUUUCUCUGGAACAAAACUCAAACUCACAUUACCCUCAAAUUAAUGUUAGGUGGCUUCACAGACCUAUUUCUAAUUACAGAGAUAGAUGCACUAUGUUUUACAAUAUGUAUGUUUUUAUCUGUAUAGUGCAACUGCAUUGUCAAAAACAUUACAAGAUAAGAACAUUGAAUUAAUCGAAACAGCAUAGGAUAAGAGCAGACCAAGUUGAAAACAUGAAACUGAAAGAAACUUGUUACAGGAACGUGAAAUCAUACAAAUUAUAGAUUUUGCUGUGUACCUCAAUUACGAUUUUUAUAUGACAGAAAUUGCAAAGUUGCAAUGCAGUAUGAACUGAUAUUGUCAUGCACACAAUUCAUUAAAGAAAUUAAUAGCAGGCUAGAAGACAUGUUUAACAUACAUGCAAUCUUGAACAACAUUUACAUACAACUUCGCCCAGUCUGUGAAACCAAGCCAUCCACUUCAGGUGAAAGCCAGGUAAUAAAAAACAUGUAAAAAUAGUUGAUAGCUAACAGAUAAGUCUUAAAAAUAACUAUGAGUAUUGAUGUUUAGUGAAUUACAAGGAUGAUACUAGCUAACAAAAAACCCUCACAGUAGACAAUAACUAUACAUCUUCUGGGAGAUAUCUUAGUGAUGAUUGGAUUGGAAGUUUACAGUUACCGUCUUGACUCCACAAGGUGAAGUAUGCAAUGAAUCAAGUGAAAUAAAGUGCAACUAUGUUUAAUGGCACCGUCCCAAAUGGCACCUUAUUCCCUUUAUAGUGGUCACAUGUGGCUCAGUUGGUAGAGGAUGGUGGUAGAGCAUGGUUUGCAACGCCAGGGUUGUGGGUUUGAUUCCCACGGGGGACCAGUACGAAAAGAAGAAAAAAAAUGUAUGAAAUGUAUGCAUUCACUACUGUAAGUCGCUCUGGAUAACAGCGUCUGCUAAAUGACUAAAAUGUAAUAGUGCUCUACUUUUGACCAGGGUCCGUAGGCUCUGGUCAAAGUAGUGCACUUUAUAGGGAAGAGGGUGCCAUGACAGUGACACUAACAAAAUCUGUAUCGAAACAAAGAUAGCUGGGAAGAAGUUGUUACAUUCAAAGCUUUGGCAAUUAAGAGAAAUAAAAUUACAAGACAUUAGCAUUUUGAAAAUUGCAGACCCUCAGGAGAGAUAAGACAACAAUUAAAAGUAUGUUAUUUAUUUAUUACAAGAAACAAAACACUGAUUUAACCCAUUUUAGCUUCUUAUUUACCUAUAUGAGUAAAUAGACAAUUGAUUCAUACAUUCAUGAUCUUUCCCACAUUGUAACAUUUUGGAUGGAGAUGAAGGAACAUCUCGGUAAAAGCUCAAUGAGAAUAUCAUGACCAAAAGGAUGCGCAUGGAAUUAGAAACCGUAUCCAAAUGGGAUAAGUCUGCACAGACCAAUAUAUUAACAACUGUCAAUGAAAUUGUCUUCACAUCAUUCAAGCUAUGAAGGGGAAGAAAAAAAAAUGACAUGGUUUCCACAAAGCAUCAAAAAUAAUAGCAAGAGCAAAUAGACACGUAGGUUAAUUGAGAAAACUAAAGAGUUGGGUAAGAGCUAUCCCACUAGUAAAAUGUUAAAAACAUGUCCAUUCAUCCUACAAGAUGCUACUGAUAUUUUGUGUUUCCCGGCAACAAGGUAUGUUGUCUUGUUCAGUCUGCUCCACCUAGGUUCCUUUUACUUUAGAAACCUUUUUGGUUGAGCCAGGCUUCCUGCCUCCGCCUCUUAGAAACAACCCCCACCUUCUUUAUGAGCUGCCGCCACCUUACCAGGUUUGCUAGCCUUGUGACAACCACUGUGUGGUUUUAUUUCCUCUUCAAAUUGGACACAAGUCUUCGUCCUCAUCUCUCUCUGCAUCUUCAUUUUCCUCCUUCUCUGAAUCACAAGUUGUAUAAUCAACUUUCACAGAUGUUCUCCUGCCUCUUCGCCUCUGGGCUUGGAAGGCAGCUUCAUCUAACACAUUUGCUUUACCAUUGGUGCAGCGGUAAAGCUUUACUAUUGGAGAAACAGUGCACCCCUGUUUGGCUGGGGGUGCACUAUUGGACCUAUGCUUCUCUGCUGCUCUCUUGGCUUUGUUUGCUUGUACGGAGCCUAAGGGGCGGCCCCUCUUUUGCGGGGAACCAUCUAUAACGGGUGGCUUGGAAACUUUAGAGGUUGGAGGUGGGUUCUUCCGUAAGUGGGCACCUCUCCCCAUUGUUGCCUUGCGUGGACGGCCUCUUGCCCGUGGCUCAGCAGAGGUGGCUGGGGGAUCCAUGUAGGGGUGGAUGCGCGGCCUUCCGAGAGGCUUCCACACUCUUGAUCCCUUAGGUUGGCUUUUCAGUUUCUUUCUCUCUUCUUCCUCCUCGGUUGAUAGCGGGUUCUUCUUCGGCCUACCCAUUUUUUUUUUGGGUUUAACAUUUUGGGGCCGGCCAUGCUUCAGAGGUGCAGUUCCGAGAGGCUUCCACACUCUUGAUCCCUUAGGUUGGCUUUUCAGUUUCUUUCUCUCUUCUUCCUCCUCGGUUGGUAGCGGGUUCUUCCUCGGCCUACCCAUUUUUUUUGUUUGUUUAACAUUUUGGGGCCGGCCAUGCUUCAGAGGUGCAGUUGGCUCUGCUGAAACAGCAUUAGGGUCAACCAGUUUACAUGGCCUGCCCCGUGGCCGCUUGUCUAGUACCCUCAGUAUCUUGGGUGUCUUAGAGCCUGAUCCUUUGGGCCUUCCCUUUCCCCUCUUAGGUGGUAUGGGGUUGCCAUUAGACAAGGCUUCACCUAACUCCUCAUCACUACCAGUAUCAGAGGCAAUUAUCUGUCCUUUUUCCGACACUGUUGCCCCUUUAUCCGACACUGUUGCCCCUUCUUCAGACACUGUUUCCCCUUCUUCAGACACUGUUGCCCCUUCUUCAGACAUUGUUGCCCCUUCUUUCAUCUGUUUUCUUGCAACCUGGCUCCUUCGUUCUUUCCUUCCAGCUCACUUUCUUGGAGGACUAGUGAACUACUUACGGCUUCCCACUGUAAAACACACAUCUCGAGAAAGUUACAAAACAAAAUGUUCUUUGUGCACCCCUUCAUUGCUUCAUAAAACUGACCUACAUUGGCACGAGAAAGUGUAGCUAACAUGUAUUGCAACAUGCACAGCCUAAACACAGAUUUUAUGUUUACUGAUUUUUCCAUUUAUGUAUAUGGUAAGGUGCACAAUACUAACAAAAUCUGAUAUGAACGUCUCCAUGACAUCCCUAAUUAAGGUUGCUGCAUUAAAGCGAUUCUGAAAUCUAGCUAGCUGGUAUCCUGAAUCAGUGAUUGUUUUGGUUAGUAGUAGUUAGCUAACUUUACCAGCUGUUCGAAGAAACAUAAUAUUAAUCUUUUAGGACAGGGUUUCCCACACUCGGUCCUACCCACCCCUGGGUGCACGUUUUGUUUUUUUCCUAAGCACUACAUAGCUGAUUGAAAUAAUCAAAGUUUGAUGAUGAAUUGGAUAUAUGAAUCAAAUGGGUAGUGCUUGCGCAAAUACAAAAACGUGCACACAGGGGGAGGGAUUGCCCAGGUCCGAGUUUGGGAAACCCUGUUCGACAAGUAACUAGUUAACUAAAUGGACUUGAAAAUAAACUAGCUAAUUUGCUAACUACGUAGCAUCGCCAGCUAUUUCGCUAGGUAGCUACCUAGCUAGUUAUAGUGACAAAGCCACCUAACUAGCUAGCUAGUUAAAUAAAGGUGAAAUAAAAUAAAAGCUAUCAAGCAGUUGCACGAACGCUUGCGACAGCCAUGGAUAGCAAGCUAGCUAGCUAGCUCACGCCGUUAGCUUGCUAGCGAAGCUAGUUUAAUGAAAAUACCACACUGCGCAGAAUACGCCUCACCUUGAUAAAAUCCUUGGUUAGAUAUCGUUUAAUCUCAUGAAAGUUCCUUGUUGUUCCUUGUUGCUAGCUAGCGAUGUAAAUUUCAAACAGAAUUUGUGGGGGCUGAUUUGUAAACCCCUACUACUAAGACCACUUUUUUUAGUUCCGUUCUGUUAGGUUGCGUCAAUCAAAUCUGGUAUCAGAACAGAAUUUAACACUAAGUUACUGAAUGUAUUCUCAUCUUUUUUAUUCAAUUUAAUUAGGCAAGCGAAUAAAUGGUAAAUUCAAUCUUCGUAUAUACGGGUUCACUGUAACACCUCGCAGGGCAAACAGAGAAUGAACUGUUCACACACAAAGUUAUUUUUUAAUACUCUGACAGGCCCGCUCUGAGCGGGAACUAUCUGUCAGAGUAUUAAAAAAUAACUUUUCUCUGGCACCUUAUUCCCUUUAUAGUGGUCCCGUGUGGCUCAGUUGGUAGAGCAUGGUGUUCGCAAUGCCAGGGUAGUGGGUUCGAUUCCCACGUGGGACCAGUACGAAAAGAAAAAUGUAUGAAAAUAAAAACAAAUGUAUGAAAUGUAUGCAUUCACUACUGUAAGUCGCUCUGGAUACGAGGGUCUGCUAAAUGACUAAAAUGUAAUAGUGCUCUACUUUUGACCAGGGUCUGUAGUCUCUGGUCAAAGUAGUGCACUUUAUAGGGAAGUGGGUGCCAUGACAGUGACACUAACAAAAUCUGUAUCGAAACAAAGAUGGCUGGGAAGAAGUUGUUACAUUCAAAGCUUUGGCAAUUAAGAGAAAUAAAAUUACAAGACAUUAGCAUUUUGAAAAUUGCAGACCCUCAGGAGAGAUAAGACAACAAUUAAAAGUAUGUUAUUUAUUUAUUACAAGAAACAAAACACUGAUUUAACCCAUUUUAGCUUCUUAUUUACCUAUAUGAGUAAAUAGACAAUUGAUUCAUACAUUCAUGAUCUUUCCCACAUUGUAACAUUUUGGAUGGAGAUGAAGGAACAUCUCGGUAAAAGCUCAAUGAGAAUAUCAUGACCAAAAGGAUGCGCAUGGAAUUAGAAACCGUAUCCAAAUGGGAAAAGUCUGCACAGACCAAUAUAUUAACAACUGUCAAUGAAAUUGUCUUCACAUCAUUCAAGCUAUGAAGGGGAGGGGGAAAAAAUGACAUGGUUUCCACAAAGCAUCAAAAAUAAUAGCAAGAGCAAAUAGACACGUAGGUUAAUUGAGAAAACUAAAGAGUUGGGUAAGAGCUAUCCCACUAGUAAAAUGUUAAAAACAUGUCCAUUCAUCCUACAAGAUGCUACUGAUAUUUUGUGUUUCCCGGCAACAAGGUAUGUUGUCUUGUUCAGUCUGCUCCACCUAGGUUCCUUUUACUUUAGAAACCUUUUUGGUUGAGCCAGGCUUCCUGCCCCGCCUCUUAGAAACAACCCCCACCUUCUUUAUGAGCUGCCGCCACCAUAACUAGGUUUGCUAGCUUUGUGACGACCACUGUGUGAUUUUAUUUCCUCUUCAACUGGAGACAAGUCUUCGUCCUCAUUUCUCUCUGCAUCUUCAUUUUCCUCCUUCUCUGAAUCACAAGUUGUAUAAUCAACUGUCACAGACGUUCUCCUGCCUCUUCGCCUCUGGGCUUGGAAGGCAGCUUCAUCUAACACAUUUGCUUUACCAUUGGUGCAGCGGUAAAGCUUUACUAUUGGAGAAACAGUGCACCCCUGUUUGGCUGGGGGUGCACUAUUGGACCUAUCCUUCUCUGCUGCUCUCUUGGCUUUGUUUGCUUGUACGGAGCCUAAGGGGCAGCCCCUCUUUUGCGGGGAACCAUCUAUAACGGGUGGCUUGGAAACUUUAGAGGUUGGAGGUGGGUUCUUCCGUAAGUGGGCACCUCUACCCAUUGUUGCCUUGCGUGGACGGCCUCUUGCCCGUGGCUCAGCAGAGGUGGCUGGGGGAUCCAUGUAGGGGUGGAUGCGCGGCCUUCCGAGAGGCUUCCACACUCUUGAUCCCUUAGGUUGGCUUUUCAGUUUCUUUCUCUCUUCUUCCUCCUCGGUUGAUAGCGGGUUCUUCCUCGGUCUACCAAUUUUUUUUGUUUGUUUAACAUUUUGGGGCCGGCCAUGCUUCAGAGGUGCAGUUGGCUCUGCUGAAACAGCAUUAGGGUCAACCAGUUUACAUGGCCUGCCCCGUGGCCGCUUGUCUAGUACCCUCAGUAUCUUGGGUGUCUUAGAGCCUGAUCCUUUGGGCCUUCCCUUUCCCCUCUUAGGUGGUAUGGGGUUGCCAUUAGACAAGGCUUCACCUAACUCCUCAUCACUACCAGUAUCAGAGGCAAUUAUCUGUCCUUUUUCCGACACUGUUGCCCCUUCUUCAGACAUUGUUGCCCCUUCUUCAGACAUUGUUGCCCCUUCUUUCAUCUGUUUUCUUGCAACCUGGCUCCUUCGUUCUUUCCUUCCAGCUCACUUUCUUGGAGGACUAGUGAACUACUUAGGGCUUCCCACUGUAAAACACACAUCUCGAGAAAGUUACAAAACAAACAAAUGUUCUUUGUGCACCCCUUCAUUGCUUCAUAAAAGUGACCUACAUGGGCGCGAGAAAGUGUAGCUAACAUGUAUUGCAACAUGCACAGCCUAAACACAGAUUUUAUGUUUACUGAUUUUUCAUUUAUGUAUAUGGUAAGGUGCACAAUACUAACAAAAUGUGAUAUGAACGUCUCCAUGACAUCCCUAAUUAAGGUUGCUGCAUUGAAGCGAUUCUGAAAACUAGCUAGCUAGUAUCCUGAAUCGGUGAUUGUUUUGGUUAGUAGUAGUUAGCUAACUUUACCAGCUGUUCGAAGAAACAUAAUAUUAAUCUUUUAGGACAGGGUUUCCCACACUCUGUCCUACCCACCCCUGGGUGCACGUUUUGUUUUUUCCCUAAGCACUACAUAGCUGAUUAAAAUAAUCAAAGUUUGAUGAUGAAUUGGAUAUAUGAAUCAAAUGGGUAGUGCUUGCGCAAAAACAAAAACGUGCACACAGGGGGAGGGAGGGCCCAGGUCCGAGUUUGGGAAACCCUGUUCGAGAAGUAACUAGUUAACUAAAUGGACCUGAAAAUAAACUAGCUAAUUUGCUAACUGCGUAUAAUCGCCAGCUAUUUCGCUAGGUAGCUACCUAGAUAGUUAUCGUGACAAAGCCACCUAACUAGCUAGCUAGUUAAAUAAUGGUUAAAUAAAAUAAAAGCUAUCAAGCAGUAGCACGAACGCUUGCGACAGCCAUGGAUAGCAAGCUAGCUAGCUAGCUCACGCCGUUAGCUUGCUAGCGAAGCUAGUUUAAUGAAAAU